UACGUAGGGUGCGAGCGUUGUCCGGAAUUAUUGGGCGUAAAGAGCUCGUAGGCGGUCUGUCGCGUCGGCUGUGAAAACUCGGGGCUCAACCCCGAGCCUGCAGUCGAUACGGGCAGACUAGAGUGCUGUAGGGGAGACUGGAAUUCCUGGUGUAGCGGUGAAAUGCGCAGAUAGUCAGGAGGAACACCGGUGGCGAAGGCGGCGAUCUGGGUCGAUACUGACGCUGAGGUGCGAAAGCGUGGGGAGCAAACAGG
rnacentral:rRNA from 1 species